AAUGUGGAAUUCGCCCUUUGCCCGCCGCGCGCGCCGGGCGGGGCGGGGGCACGGGGGGCCUACGGGAGGCAGUGGGGAAUAUUGCGCAAUGGGCGCAAGCCUGAUGCAGCGCCGCGUGAGGGAUGGAGGCCUUCGGGUUGUAAACCUCUUUUGUUUGGGAGCAAGCCUUCGGGUCAGUGUACCUUUCGAAUAAGCGCCGGCUAACUACGUGCCAGCAGCCGCGGUAAUAAGGGCGAAUUCCACAGUG
rnacentral:rRNA from 2 species